UACGGGGGGGAGCAAGCGUUUGUUCGGAUUUACUGGGCGUAAAGGGCGCGUAGGCGGUCAGCACAAGUCAGUUGUGAAAUCUCCGGGCUUAACUCGGAAAGGUCAACUGAUACUGUGCGACUAGAGUGCAGAAGGGGCAACUGGAAUUCUCGGUGUAGCGGUGAAAUGCGUAGAUAUCGAGAGGAACACCGGUGGCGAAGG
rnacentral:rRNA from 1 species